rnacentral:rRNA from 1 species
GAUGAACGCUGGCGGCGUGCCUAAUACAUGCAAGUCGAGCGAACGGACGAGGAGCUUGCUCCUCUGACGUUAGCGGCGGACGGGUGAGUAACACGUGGAUAACCUACCUAUAAGACUGGGAUAACUUCGGGAAACCGGAGCUAAUACCGGAUAAUAUAUUGAACCGCAUGGUUCAAUAGUGAAAGACGGUUUUGCUGUCACUUAUAGAUGGAUCCGCGCCGCAUUAGCUAGUUGGUAAGGUAACGGCUUACCAAGGCAACGAUGCGUAGCCGACCUGAGAGGGUGAUCGGCCACACUGGAACUGAGACACGGUCCAGACUCCUACGGGAGGCAGCAGUAGGGAAUCUUCCGCAAAGGGCGAAAGCUUGACGGAGCAACGCCGCGUGAGUGAUGAAGGUCUUCGGAUCGUAAAACUCUGUUAUUAGGGAAGAACAAAUGUGUAAGUAACUAUGCACGUCUUGACGGUACCUAAUCAGAAAGCCACGGCUAACUACGUG